rnacentral:rRNA from 1 species
CCUACGGGUGACAGCAGUGGGGAAUAUUGCACAAUGGGGGAAACCCUGAUGCAGCAACGCCGCGUGAGUGAAGAAGUAUUUCGGUAUGUAAAGCUCUAUCAGCAGGGAAGAAGAAAGACGGUACCUGACUCAGCAGCCACGGCUAACUACGGGCCAGCAGCUGCGGUAAUACGUAGGGGGCAAGCGUUAUCCGGAUUUACUGGGUGGAAGGGGAGCGUAGACGGAUGGGCAAGUCUGAAGUGAAAGCCCGUGGCUCAACCGCGGAACUGCUUUGGAAACUGUAUAGCUUGAGUACUGGAGAGGCAGGCGGAAUUCCUAGUGUAGCGGUGAAAUGCGUAGAUAUUAGGAGGAACAC